GAUGAACGCUAGCUACAGGCUUAACACAUGCAAGUCGAGGGACCGGCGCACGGGUGAGUAACACGUAUCCAACCUGCCCAUUACUCGGGGAUAGCCUUUCGAAAGAAAGAUUAAUACCCGAUAUAAAGGAUGGGGAUGCGUUCCAUUAGGUUGUUGGGGAGGUAACGGCUCACCAAGCCUUCGAUGGAUAGGGGUUCUGAGAGGAAGGUCCACCUGAUUGAAACUGAGCCCCGGUCCAAACUCUUCCGGGAGGCAGCAGUGAUGUAUCUUGAUCACUGUGCUCUAGCCUGAACCAGCCAAAUAGCUUUAAGGAUGUAGGCAUAUUGGUCUUAUACUUCUUGUAUAUAAGAAUAUGUCUUAUAUUGAUAAGGAUCGGCUAACUCCGUGCCAGCAGCCGCGGUAAUUG
rnacentral:rRNA from 1 species